GACUCGAUAUAAGAAUUUAAUUUAUAGUAUAUAUAAAUUAUAUUAGUGACAGAUUUUUUAAAUGUUGUAAUUUCUUAACUAUAAUGCAAAAAGAAAAAGUAUUGAUUUGUCUGA